rnacentral:rRNA from 1 species
AGUGAACGCUGGCGGUAGGCCUAACACAUGCAAGUCGAACGGCAGCACAGUAAGAGCUUGCUCUUACGGGUGGCGAGUGGCGGACGGGUGAGGAAUACAUCGGAAUCUACUUUUUCGUGGGGGAUAACGUAGGGAAACUUACGCUAAUACCGCAUACGACCUACGGGUGAAAGCAGGGGAUCUUCGGACCUUGCGCGAUUGAAUGAGCCGAUGUCGGAUUAGCUAGUUGGCGGGGUAAAGGCCCACCAAGGCGACGAUCCGUAGCUGGUCUGAGAGGAUGAUCGGCCACACUGGAACUGAGACACGGUCCAGAGUCCUACGGGAGGCAGCAGUGGGGAAUAUUGGACAAUGGGGGCAAGCAUGAUCCAGCCAUACCGCGUGGGUGAAGAAGGCCUUCGGGUUGUAAAGCCCUUUUGUUGGGAAAGAAAAGCAGCAGGUUAAUACCCCGCUGUUCUGACGGUACCCAAAGAAUAAGCACCGGCUAACUUCGUG